GAUGAACGCUGGCGGCGUGCCUAAUACAUGCAAGUCGAGCGAAGAGGGGACGGGUGAGUCACACGUGGAUAUCCUCCCAUAAGACUGGGAUAACUUCGGGAAACCGGAGCUAAACCGGAUACUUAUUCAUGGAUCCGCGCGGCAUUAGCUAGUUGGUAAGGUAACGGCUUACCAAGGCAACGAUGCAUAGCAGACCUGAGAGGGUGAUCGGCCACACUGGAACUGAGACACGGUCCAGACUCCUACGGGAGGCAGCAGUGGGGAAUCUUCCGCAAUGGGCGAAAGCCUGACGGAGCAACGCCGCGUGGGUGAUGAAGGUCUUCGGGUUGUAAAACUCUGUUAUUAGGGAAGCGGUACCUACAGAGGAAGCAACGGCUAACUACGUGCCAGCAGCCGCGGUAAUUC
rnacentral:rRNA from 1 species